UACGUAGGGUGCGAGCGUUAAUCGGAAUUACUGGGCGUAAAGCGUGCGUAGGCGGUUCGUUAAGUUCGAUGUGAAAGCCCCGGGCUCAACCUGGGAAUGGCAUUGGAAACUGGCGAGCUGGAGUGUGGCAGAGGGGGGUGGAAUUCCACGUGUAGCAGUGAAAUGCGUAGAGAUGUGGAGGAACACCGAUGGCGAAGGCAGCCCCCUGGGCUAACACUGACGCUCAGGCACGAAAGCGUGGGGAGCAAACAGG
rnacentral:rRNA from 1 species